rnacentral:lncRNA from 1 species
GUCUGCUCUCGAGCUGCGGCAGCUGCCACCCCUAACAGCACGAUCUGUUUCUCACUUACCCUCCGCGAUCACUGAGGGCUGGCUGGGGCACUGUCCGUCCUGUCCCCCUCGCUCCAGGACCCACACUGGCGAGGCAGCUCAGGGGACAGCAGAAAGAGACAGUGUGGCACAUUGUGUCCAGGUUCCUAAGGCUUGCACACUCGUCACUUCCACUCAAGCCUCUUUGGCCAGAGCAGUGACUUCGCUCAAGUUACCAAGGAAGAGUCACCCUCCGGUGUGCCCGGAAGAGGACAGAGCUGGAAAUCCUGGCUGCCCAGCAAAACUACAGUGGUCGGUGAGCAACGCGGACCAGGACAUGCACGCACAAGUCAGGAAGUUCUCUUCCUCUCUUCUCUGCUGACAACUGGUGUGCAGGAUGGCGAGCCCUGCCCAAGCACUCAGAAUUACACCUGAAGUCGGAAUGAAACUCGACUCUCACAUCCUCCCUCCACAGGAAGAAGUGAGCGGGGACCAGCAGGAACCAAGAUAAAUUUUUCCUUGCUUCUGGCCCACCAACUCGUCAGCUGUCUUGAGCUGAGGCAGCGCUGCCAGACUGAAUAACUGGAGAAUGUACUCGACUCUAUUUAUUUUAGAGUAUGAUAAUUUGAGGGAAAAUUAAAAUUGUC